UCUCCCAUAAAGAUAAUUGUCCCAGGUUACCCAGGAGGACCACGUGCAGAUGCAUUUUCCAAAUACCAUCAGCUUCCCAGGUUCCAGGACCUAUGACCUCCCAGGCGAGAGGCAGACUUGGAAGCAGUGACCGUCGCUCUGCUUGGUGGCUUUAGAAAGUCCCCAGAUUUUCCUCUUUAAUUAUUUGUCUGCAUAUGCAUGUGUGAGGGUGCUGGUGGGGGCCAGAAGAAGGUGUCAGAUCCCCUGGAGCUGGAGUUAAAGGCAGUUAUGAGCGACCUGUUGUGGAUGCUGGAAACUGAACAUGGAACUGGAAAACAGGAAGGGAUGGAACGUUCAUUGUAGAACAGUGCCUGAUCUUCUCUGACCUCCCUCACUCUGAGCUGAAUGGGUCAUGGAGACAUUAUCUGCACCACUCAGCUAUCUACCCGACACUCCCUGGCUUCUUUCUGCCUUAGAUGGAUCUUUUGGGCUUCUUCAGCUGAAGAAAUGAUGGGAAGACGUCUGAGGUACUCACCUCUACUUGAAGCAUUUGGGUGUUCUAUUUGAUUGCCUGUUUUUCAUCCCUCUGCCUCUCUGGACUGUGAACUCCUACAGGGCCCUGCUCGGGAACCCACAGCCCAGGAUUGUGCUUGUGUUGAAGGCAGAACAGGUCGUAGGAAUCUGGAGCUCGUGAAGGGAAAAGGCCUGUUGGACGGUUUGGUCAUCGCUCAGUGCUGCCCAUACAGAAGCUGUGCAGACCAGGCCUGCCCCUUCCCCCUCUAAUCCACAUGACCCUGCUUCUAUCUCACACCACAGUCACGGAGGUGACAAAGCUUACAGGGACAGCGGCCCCUACCUUCUGCACAGAGGCAGGAGCAUGGUGGCCCAGGGGAAGUGGAGACUGGCUGGGAACCUCUGGUGUUACGUGUCCCAGAAGUGAACCCACCAUUAGACUCAGAUGUGCCCUGUGCUCCUGUGGCAGCUGCCACACAGACACUGAAGCCCCUGACUUGCAGUUACCUGCUCAGAACCGCACGGCUCUGGUCCCGGUGGAUGGUGUUGGUCUUUGGAGAGCCGGGCUUGGACCUGACGGGGCGAUUCAAAUGCAAGCUGUCCUUUAAUGCCCCAGAUGUAUCCGCUCAGUGACAAGGAGGAGAAAAGACAGAUGCAGAAGCAGGAAGCAGCUGAGCCCAGGCAGCCACUCUCCCAUCCUGCACCAUCAGGUCCAGACAAGAAAUCGCCACAGAUCUCAAAGCCGAGCCUUGUGAGUCUGUCUCAUCAGUAGCUCUAAGGCAGGUUCCAGUGAACCACCCUCUCCCCAUCCACUCCUAGCUCAGCCCCAUCCACCCCUCUCUCACCAACACCUCCUAGCUUUCAUUCAGGAUGUCUUGCCUGUCCUGAGUGAGUGUGACACUCCUUUUCGAAGCACUCAGGGUCUUUGCUCCAACCACUCAGUGCCAGCCACUGAAAAACCAAAGUUUUUGUCCCCUCAGUGACUGGUUCCUCACGGCCUCUGAGGUCUGUAUGGGUCUGAACUCCUCGGCACCCACUCCCCACAGGGUCUGCUCAUGUCACCUGUGCUACCCCCUGGACACAUCUCUUACAUACUGACCUGUAUCUCUUUCCACUUUGAGACUAUGGCAGAGCCCCAUGCCGUUGUGAUGAAAACACAGAGGAUCCCUUCCAUUUCCCCAGUGCCAUGUCUUCCCAGCCGCUCACAACCCCAGCAGGACACUCCAGAAGAGCUGGGGUCACAAUUAGAUGGGGGCAAGCUCACAAGCUUUCUCCUGAGCACAUGGACCCAGCUCUGAGGACGGAACCCAGACAGUUCCUGCUUGCUUGUUUUGUCUCGUGACGUUCCACAGGUUUUCACCAUCUGGGAGAGAGAGCUCGGGUGGCAGGGACUUAACAUGAAGGCAACGUAGCAUCAGAACACUCAGUGCCGGGGGCUGGUGUUAGUGCCCCGAGGAAAUAGACAGUCUUUGUAUGCAGCUGCCGAGAGGGAAAUGAUUUUGCUAUGCACAGCAUGUUGCAAUCAGGCCGUGUGCUGCUCUGAGUUACUCCAUUGUGAGUAUAUUUGCCAUCAUAGACUCCAUCUUGCACAUUGUACCUGUUCUCAGUGACUCCAUGGUCGUUCAUGGGUCUGCCCUCUCUGUUGUACACAGGACCUUCCCUCAGAGAUCCUAUUAUCGUAAGACAGAUCCUGCUCUGAGAGAGAUUCCAUAUUACAAGCAGAAUUUCUCUCUUUUUUGAGAACAGAGAAUGAUGAUACCUGGUGGACAUAUAAGCAGGAGCAUCGUUCCCAUGCCGCAGACAAGGAUAUCAGCGGUCCAGUCCAAAACGUCAAACACAAAUCAGUAACAGCAGUAGCAU